AAGUCGUAACAAGGUUUCCGUAGGUGAACCUGCGGAAGGAUCAUUAUAAAAAACGGCUGCAAUAUGCCGAUCAAAGUUGUGGAUGCGCAAGCGUCUGCGACCGAGAUAAAAUCUUUUGUGCACCGUAAACAACAUUCGCGUUUUAUUUUGUCUGAUGUAAAUUUUACAGUUUUCGUGAAUUGGACGCAAGUCUAUUUGCAAGAAAGAAAACAUAAAAAUAACUUUUAACAACGGAUCUCUUGGCUCUC
rnacentral:misc_RNA from 1 species